UACGAAGGGGACUAGCGUUGUUCGGAAUCACUGGGCGUAAAGCGCACGUAGGCGGAUGUGUCAGUCAGGGGUGAAAUCCCGGGGCUCAACCUCGGAACUGCCUUUGAUACAGCACGUCUCGAGUCCGGAAGAGGUAGGUGGAAUUCCUAGUGUAGAGGUGAAAUUCGUAGAUAUUAGGAAGAACACCGGUGGCGAAGGCGGCCCACUGGUCCGGUACUGACGCUGAGGUGCGAAAGCGUGGGGAGCAAACAGG
rnacentral:rRNA from 1 species